AAGGCAUAAAUGGCAGGACCCCCCACUGUUCAUCUUGCUUUUCAGGGAGAUCUGUAGGACCUAGUCUGUGUGACACUCCCAAGCUUGACAGCUGGCACCUGCCCGUGGGCACCUGUUUUCUAAUCAAUACUUGGGGUUCAGUCACUUAGAACUGAUUGGUGUUACAUGCCUUCAAACAACAUCAAGGGAUACCUUUUCUCUUACCCAAACUUCUAUUGACUUUAUCAGCCCUUAAUGAUUUCCUUGAACUCUGAAGAGUUCAUGGUCGAUUGAUUUAAGUGCCUCAUUCCUUGCCACUGUUUGCAAAUAACAAUAUUUUAAAAGAGGUUUCCCAAGAAAUGCUGAUUCAUCUAGCAAACUUCAAAUAUACUGGGUCUUGGAGUCUCAACAAAAUAGCAGAUGAGAUUAUGGAGAAAUAACACUGUCAGUCCAUGUGUCUUCACAAAUUUUUGUUGGCACCGCACACCCCAGAUAUGGGAGAAAAACAAGUUAGAAUGUAUGAGUUUCGGCUUGCUAGUAUUUUCAUAUCUUUUAGCAAAGUCCUUUGAGCACCAUCUGAAGAGAAUCACUUUAAAGAACCUUUAAAUGUUCCAUGUCUAUGUGAGUCCCACAAAACCUGAGGUUUACUUUUUGGCUGUUUGACUUUCUCUCCCCCAGCUGUCAUUUGACUCAACAGAGAAAAGUGACUUUUUCCGGAAUUCAGAAGAAUGAGCUGAAAUUGUUACAGGGACCCCAGUCUUUGUAGUGGAGAUUUAGCAAGUUAAUAAUAGGUAGAAAGAUUUCAUUCUAUGGAAGUCCUGGCCAACAGUUCCUGCCCAUUUGACGUUAUAUAAAAAUAUAUAAAGGAAAAAGUCUUAUAUUUUAUUGCUAGCACUUUCUCUGACUGCCUCCUCUAAACUCCAAGUUGCUGAUGGCACUGAACUCCAAAGUGCCCUUGAUACCAACGCCCAGUAGCUGUUUCCAUUCACCUUGCUGAAUAAAAGCCAGAGUGCUGGCCUCUUGCUAGGAUUUCUGGCAGCACUUGCGUCAGUAAUUCAUUCCAAUAAAAUGGUCCCUUUAUCAACUGAAUCCCCAAACAAAGCCUGUACUAACAAAAAGCCCUUUUCAUGAAAAGAAGAAGGAGGGGGGAGAACUUUGGAAAACAGUUUUCAAAUGUCCUCUAACUUGUGACUGACACAAGAAGUGGUCCCAUCUGGUCCUGGCCAGCUGUGGCUCUCCCACCAAUGCACCAGGUAUUCAGAGUACUGUCUACCCCUGGGGGGUGGGGGUGGGGAAAUGGACAGCAGAGCCACAGACCAUUGCCUUUCAAGACUGGUAUAGCCUGAGAUGACAGUCAUACCUCCAACACCAGAGGAAUAAUAAACUCCUUGGUUCACAAGUCUCAAAACUCGGAAGGAGAACAUCUUCAACCUUCCGCCUCUGGAGAUACAGCAUAUAAAUUGUCCCAGGCCUGCUGGCUCUUUAUCUGGCUUUGGCUGUGGUGGAAACAGCUGGUCACCAUCCAGAGGACAAUCCUGCCUCCUUCAUUUUCUUGAAGUUGGUGAUUAAAUCACUCAUCAUCUCUUCGCCAGGAUGUUGUGAAGAUUAUGUCAGCACAGUGCCCAGAGCUCCCUGGAGAUAAACGAUCCACUCUCUGCCGUCCACCCUGCUCUGCGGAGGCUGCCUCAUGUGAACUCUGCCAUGGGGCUCCCAUGGCCAGUGGUGGGUCCGGCAGAAGACCAACCACACAGGAGGCAGGAGAAGGGAGGAGCCUGGGGAUGUUAACUCAAACCCUGCCAUGCAGGAGUGGCACAAAGCAGGAUCUAAGGACACCUGGACUAAGAACGAUGGGACGACUCUAACAAGAGGAUGUUUAAUACAAGGUUCAGGCGAAGAUGUGGUGACUACAACAUUAGGUGCAGUUUUGAUUAGUGUCACCUCACUAUGAAUCAAGAGGUGACAAAAUGCACAACCCCCCAAAUAAAAUUCCAGCCUUCUAAAGCCCCAGGUAGAGGAAUGCAUUCUGUUCCUUUGUGGUCAGACUGCUCCUGGAGUACUGUUUUCAGCUUUAGGUGAUACGUGAAAAACCAGCUGCAGUUGUUAAUGCGUCUAUUUUAAUAUCAGCCCAUCUCUUGGGUUCGGUCGGGAAUGAAUACAUGCUAUGAAAUUAGGUAAUUGCUUAGUAGACAUGGGGCUGAUUCUUUUAAAAAAAUUAUUUAUUUAUUCAUGAGAAACACAAGAGAGGCAGAGACAGAGGCAGAGAGAAGCAGGCUCUAUGCAGGGAGCCCGAUGUGGGACUCGAUCCCGAGAUCCUGGGAUCAUGUCCUGAGUCAAAGGCAGAUGCUCAACUGCUGAGCUACCCAGGCGUCCCCAUGGAGCUGAUUCUAAAAUAACCUUUUCCUUCCAAUUUUUAAGAAAUUGUUUUUGAACCAAACUCUCACUUCUAUUAAAUUCUUUCCCAGGAAUCUUCUGGAAUUUGUAUACAAAGAGACGUAAUAAUUUACCCCACUGAAGAUUAAUAGACCUUAAUCAAACCCAGACCUAUGUACACAUUUUAGUUGCAAGCCAAGCACACGUGGAAGAGCUAUCUAAUCAAUAAAUUUGAUCAGAAAUAAUUUCACAUAGGCCUAGUUUUAUAUGUAUGGUGAAAUUCAAAUUGAGGGCAAAGAAUGUCAGAAUGUUCAUGCUAGAAGUGGUUUUGAUAUCAUUUACCCAAACCUCUAUCUACUGUUCUAAGUAGGGAGACUGAGGCCCCGAGAGGAUGGAUGGAUCCUGGUUUUCAUCUGACUUCUGAUAAUAACCCCGAGUCUAUUACCUGUGCUUCACUGCCUUCCUGAUGAAAUCAUGCUUCUAAAAGUUGAUGAGUUUGGACCAACUUGGAAUGGA